AAAUUUUAGUACAAGAAAGUUGUUUAUUUUUCAUUUCUAACCGCCAUUAUUUAAACAAUGACGAUACAUCCUACCUAGGUUUCAAUGACCUGAGCAGUAUAUAAUUACUACAUGAAAGUUAAUUAAAAAAUCCAUUCGAAACAAUACCUUCCUUUGCUUAGUACUCUGUGGAAGCCGUACUUCUUUAAAAACCACCAAACUAAUAAUUACAUUUAUUGAUUUCAUCCUUGCAUAUAUGUAAAGAAUCGCACUUGCUUAGCUUUGACAGACUGAGAACUAAACGAGAGGCGAACAAUACCAAAGGCACACCCAAACUCACGAGUCAAAAAUAAACUGACAACUCUAUGGCAUAAAAAGAAAAAGAAACACAGACAAAGAGCAGUACCAAAACACAACACAUAAAAUUAACGACUGCACAACACGAAACUCACAAAAGAAACAUUAUUUUACAGCUAUAACUAGCCUUAAGCCAAUAAAAC
rnacentral:lncRNA from 1 species